GCUCGGGUGGCUUAGUGGUUAGAGCUUCACCCUCUGAUGCGGGAGGUGGUGGGUUCGAACCCAGGCCGAGUCA